CAGCCGCCGCGGUAAAACGAAGGGUGCAAGCGUUAAUCGGAAUUACUGGGCGUAAAGCGUGCGUAGGCGGUUUGUUAAGUCUGUUGUGAAAUCCCCGGGCUCAACCUGGGAAUGGCAAUGGAUACUGGCAAGCUAGAGUGUGUCAGAGGAUGGUGGAAUUCCCGGUGUAGCGGUGAAAUGCGUAGAGAUCGGGAGGAACAUCAGUGGCGAAGGCGGCCAUCUGGGACAACACUGACGCUGAGGCACGAAAGCGUGGGGAGCAAACAGGAUUAGAUACCCCGGUAGUCCCUGUCUCUUAUAC
rnacentral:rRNA from 1 species